GUGUUCAUUUUGGCAGCACAAAUAUUAAAAUUGGAAUGAUACAGAGGAAAUUAGCAUGGGCUCUGCACAAGGGUAACUCAAAAAUAUGUGAAGACUUUCUUAGUUUU